rnacentral:misc_RNA from 1 species
GCGUUAAUCGGAAUUACUGGGCGUAAAGCGUGCGCAGGCGGUUCGGAAAGAAAGAUGUGAAAUCCCAGAGCUUAACUUUUGGAACUGCAUUUUUAACUACCGAGCUAGAGUGUGUCAGAGGGAGGUGGAAUUCCGCGUGUAGCAGUGAAAUGCGUAGAUAUGCGGAGGAACACCGAUGGCGAAGGCAGCCUCCUGGGAUAACACUGACGCUCAUGCACGAAAGCGUGGGAGCAAACAGGAUUAGAUACUCCUGGUAGUCCCAUGCCCUAAACGAUGUCAACUAGUUGUUGGGGCCUUCGCUCUGGUAGCGCAGCUAACGCGUGAAGUUGACCGCCUGGGGAGUACGGUCGCAAGAUUAAAACUCAAAGGGAUUUGGACCCGCACAAGCGGUGGAUGAUGUGGAUUAAUUCGAUGCAACGCGAAAACCUUACCUACCCUUGACAUGUCUGGAAUCCCGAAGAGAUUUGGGAGUGCUCGCAAGAACCGGAACACAGGUGCUGCAUGGCUGUCGUCAGCUCGUGUCGUGAGAUGUUGGGUUAAGUCCCGCAACGAGCGCAACCCUUGUCAUUAGUUGCUACGAAAGGGCACUCCUUAAUGAGACUGCCGGUGACAAACCGGAGGAAGGUGGGGAUGACGUCAAGUCCUCAUGGCCCUUAUGGGUAGGGCUUCCUUCACACGUCAUACAAUGGUCGGGACAGAGGGUCGCCAACCCGCGAGGGGGAGCCAAUCCCAGAAACCCGAUCGUAGUCCGGAUCGCAGUCUGCAACUCGACUGCGUGAAGUCGGAAUCGCUAGCAAUCGCGGAUCAGCAUAUCAUGCGGUGAAUACGUUCCGGUCUUGUACACACCGCCCGUCACACCAUGGGAGUGGGUUUUACCAGAAGUAGUUAGCCUAACCGUAUGAGGGCGAUUACCAUGGUAGAUUCAUGACUGGGGUGAAGUCGUAACAAGGUAA